UACGAAGGGUGCAAGCGUUAUUCGGAAUCAUUGGGCGUAAAGCGCGCGCAGGCGGAUCAGUAAGUCAGGUGUGAAAUCUCGAGGCUCAACCUCGAAACUGCGCCUGAAACUACUAGUCUAGAAUGUCGGAGGGGGCAGGGGAAUUUCACGUGUAGGGGUAAAAUCCGUAGAGAUGUGAAGGAACACCGGAGGCGAAGGCGCCUAUCUGGACGACUAUUGACGCUGAGGCUCGAAAGCGUGGGGAGCAAACAGG
rnacentral:rRNA from 1 species